GACGAACGCUGGCGGCGUGCUUAACACAUGCAAGUCGAACGGAAAGGCCCUGCUUUUGUGGGGUGCUCGAGUGGCGAACGGGUGAGUAACACGUGAGUAACCUGCCCUUGACUUUGGGAUAACUUCAGGAAACUGGGGCUAAUACCGGAUAGGAGCUCCUGCUGCAUGGUGGGGGUUGGAAAGUUUCGGCGGUUGGGGAUGGACUCGCGGCUUAUCAGCUUGUUGGUGGGGUAGUGGCUUACCAAGGCUUUGACGGGUAGCCGGCCUGAGAGGGUGACCGGCCAAAUGGGAAUUAGGAUGCGGCCCAAACCCCUAGGGGGGGCGGAAGUGGGGAAUAUUGCACAGGGGGGGGAAGCCUGAGGCAGAAACGCCGGGUGGGGGAUGACGGCCUUCGGGUUGUAAACCGCUUUCGCGUGUGACGAAGCGUGGGUGACGGUAAUGGGGAAAGAAGCACCGGCAAACUCAGU
rnacentral:rRNA from 1 species